CAGUAGCCACGGGAAUACGUAGGGUGCAAGCGUUAAUCGGAAUUACUGGGCGUAAAGCGUGCGCAGGCGGUUAUAUAAGUCAGAUGUGAAAUCCCCGGGCUCAACCUGGGAACUGCAUUUGAGACUGUAUGGCUAGAGUGUGUCAGAGGGGGGGUAGAAUUCCACGUGUAGCAGUGAAAUGCGUAGAUAUGUGGAGGAAUACCGAUGGCGAAGGCAGCCCCCUGGGAUAACACUGACGCUCAUGCACGAAAGCGUGGGGAGCAAACAGGAUUAGAUACCCGCGUAGUCCCUGUCUCUUAUA
rnacentral:rRNA from 1 species